CGCUGACUUUUUAUGCAUAGCAAUUAUGGUUUAUAGUUCUUUUUUGUACCUCAAAUUUGGUCCUUUCUAUGAUGCAUCGUCGUCGGGUUUUUUUUCUCCUUUUUAUGUUAUGAUCACUUGGAAAGUAAGAUCUCAAAGAUCUUUGCCAAUUUGUGAUGAGUUGUUUACGCGAGAUUUAUAGCUUGGUCGAUUACAUGUUUUGAUUUUCGUAGCUGUUUGGUUUUAUAUGCAUGAUAAUUCUCAUGUUUUUGAUUAUCACUUUUUUCUUUUCUCAGGUACAAGGAUAAACUUUUUGGAUUGUGGACUUGCGAACGAAGCUCAAAUCAAAGGACAAAUCAUGGGUCGUAUCCACGAGCGGCUCUUCAAGAUGAGAUCAUGAGCGAGAUUGCAGAGGAUGAGCUUUGAAAUAACUCAGGAUAUAGCUUUCUUCAACUCUCAUUGCUUCCAGUGUCUCAUCCAUCAAAAGACAACAUAUGUCUCUCUUAUCUUUUGGAGCUGUCACGGCCUUCGCUUUUGGACUCACGAAUACCAGUUUCAAAUACAACAGAUUCGUAGCUCGAUCCCUAAAAUUUUCUCUAAGAUUCAUAGCUAAAGCUGUAAAUUUGCCUUUUUGACUUCCACCGCUGUUUCAAAUACAUCAGUUUAAUUCGUACGUUAGACCGUAGUACAUACAUCUUCUUUAUUAUUUAUUGUUAUGAUGUGGUUUUAAAUAAGAUGGUUUUAGCUGAUUCAAAUUGUAUUAAUGGAAACCUACAUAAACAAUAAUUUUUUGGAAUAUCUCUGUUUCUGUGUAGUUAGACCUACUCUAUUCUUUUUAAAUAAACAUGGUUAUUUUUUAUUCGAUGAUUUUUUGAUUAUUUGUUUUUGAUCUUCGACUAGAAAAGGAGAAGGCAAGAGAUUUUCUUCUUUUUUAUUUGCAUGAUUCAGGAAGACCAAUAAACCUCAAGAAUAAUUCCACUACGAAAAGAUCACUCCAAGAAAUUCGUUUGUUUUCUCCAACUCUGCUCUUUGAUUAGCGAAAAACAAAGAUAUGUGGUCAAUGGAGUCUUUUAUAUGACAUGUUCGGAAAUCAGUCCUACCACUCGAUCUCAUAUUAUCUCCUGUCCUUUUAUUCCUCAAGGAAAGGCAUUAACAACAGGCCCUACCUGCCAAAACUGGUUGGUCGUGAUCAAAUUCGGUGGUAACUCAAGAGUUGUGAAGAUGGUAGCCUCCCCAUUGACCAGACUCGCGGAUAACACGGUUCACAUGGAAGGUAAGGCUACUACGUGAACUGGAUGCCGUAUCAACUCACGGAAGAGGUAUAGGCCUGGAAUUGGCCACUUGAGUUGGUUAAGGCGACGAGCGCUUGCAUCCCAACCAUCUGAGUACUACUUGGGUUAAGUCCCCAAGCAAUCCAAGAAGAAGAAGAGGUUCGAUGGUGGUGAAAGGCGAUGGUAACGGUAUCGUUUGGUUUGUUGUUGGAGAAAAGAACCUAAGGUCGAAGCUCAGAGUAAUCGUCUUUUGGCGAAGGCGAGUUUAUUGGAGAAACUGUGUGAGUCACAACCAAACCGAUAAGAAAAAAAUGUUGCCAACACGGGGAACAGAGCUCGCUUUGGAGAUUGUGUUCGGAGAUAUAUAGAAACGCAAACACUGAUGCCUUUUUAAAGGCUACGAAAGUUGGAAGUUCUU